UGGCUUCGGCAGCACAUAUACUAAAAGUGGAAUGAGACAGAGACUACCAUGGCUCCUGCUCAAGGAUGACAUGCAAAUUUGUGAAGUGUUCCAUAUUAAA
rnacentral:snRNA from 1 species